AGUGAACGCUGGCGGUAGGCCUAACACAUGCAAGUCGAACGGUAGCACAGGAGAGCUUACUCUCUGGGUGGCGAGUGGCGGACGGGUGAGGAAUACAUCGGAAUCUACUUUUUCGUGGGGGAUAACGUAGGGAAACUUACGCUAAUACCGCAUACGACCUACGGGUGAAAGCUGGGGAUCUUCGGACCUUGCGCGAUUGAAUGAGCCGAUGUCGGAUUAGCUAGUUGGCGGGGUAAAGGCCCACCAAGGCGACGAUCCGUAGCUGGUCUGAGAGGAUGAUCAGCCACACUGGAACUGAGACACGGUCCAGACUCCUACGGGAGGCAGCAGUGGGGAAUAUUGGACAAUGGGCGCAAGCCUGAUCCAGCCAUACCGCGUGGGUGAAGAAGGCCUUCGGGUUGUAAAGCCCUUUUGUUGGGAAAGAAAUCCAGCUGGUUAAUACCCGGUUGGGAUGACGGUACCCAAAGAAUAAGCACCGGCUAACUUCGUGCCAGCAGCCGCCGUAA
rnacentral:rRNA from 1 species